GAUGAACGCUGGCGGCGUGCCUAAUACAUGCAAGUCGAGCGAACAGACGAGGAGCUUGCUCCUCUGACGUUAGCGGCGGACGGGUGAGUAACACGUGGAUAACCUACCUAUAAGACUGGGAUAACUUCGGGAAACCGGAGCUAAUACCGGAUAAUAUAUUGAACCGCAUGGUUCAAUAGUGAAAGACGGUUUUGCUGUCACUUAUAGAUGGAUCCGCGCCGCAUUAGCUAGUUGGUAAGGUAACGGCUUACCACGGCGACGAUGCGUAGCCGACCUGAGAGGGUGAUCGGCCACACUGGAACUGAGACACGGUCCAGACUCCUACGGGAGGCAGCAGUAGGGAAUCUUACGCAAUGGGCGAAAGCCUGACGGAGCAACGCCGCGUGAGUGAUGAAGGUCUUCGGAUCGUAAAGCUCUGUUAUUAGGGAAGAACAAAUGUGUAAGUAACUAUGCACGUCUUGACGGUACCUAGUCAGAAAGCCACGGCUAACUACGUG
rnacentral:rRNA from 1 species